AGAGUUUGAUCAUGGCUCAGAGCGAACGCUGGCGGCAGGCCUAAUACAUGCAAGUCGAGCGCACCUUCGGGUGAGCGGCGGACGGGUGAGUAACGCGUGGGAAUAUGCCCUUUGGUACGGAACAACUGAGGGAAACUUCAGCUAAUACCGUAUGUGCCCUUCGGGGGAAAGAUUUAUCGCCAUUGGAGUAGCCCGCGUUGGAUUAGCUAGUUGGUAGGGUAAAGGCCUACCAAGGCUACGAUCCAUAGCUGGUCUGAGAGGAUGAUCAGCCACACUGGGACUGAGACACGGCCCAGACUCCUACGGGAGGCAGCAGUAGGGAAUCUUGCGCAAUGGGCGAAAGCCUGACGCAGCCAUGCCGCGUGAAUGAUGAAGGUCUUAGGAUUGUAAAAUUCUUUCACCGGGGAAGAUAAUGACGGUACCCGGAGAAGAAGCCCCGGCUAACUUCGUGCCAGCAGCCGCGGUAAUACGAAGGGGGCUAGCGUUGCUCGGAAUUACUGGGCGUAAAGGGCGCGUAGGCGGAUAUUUAAGUUAGAGGUGAAAGCCCAGGGCUCAACCCUGGAAUAGCCUUUAAUACUGGAUAUCUCGAGUUCGGGAGAGGUGAGUGGAACUCCGAGUGUAGAGGUGAAAUUCGUAGAUAUUCGGAAGAACACCAGUGGCGAAGGCGACUCACUGGCCCGAUACUGACGCUGAGGCGCGAAAGCGUGGGGAGCAAACAGGAUUAGAUACCCUAGUAGUCC
rnacentral:rRNA from 1 species